UCCCUGGUGAUCUAGUGUCUAAGGACCCCGCAUUCUCACCACCGCGGCCCAGGUUCGAUUCCUGGGCCGGGAA